UGCCCUAGUAACGGCGAGUGAAGCGGCAACAGCUCAAAUUUGAAAUCUGGCUUCGGCCCGAGUUGUAAUUUGCAGAGGAUGUUUCUGGCGCGGUGCCUUCCGAGUUCCCUGGAACGGGACGCCACAGAGGGUGAGAGCCCCGUAUGGUUGGAUACCAAGCCUGUGUGAAACUCCUUCGACGAGUCGAGUAGUUUGGGAAUGCUGCUCAAAAUGGGAGGUAAAUCUCUUCUAAAGCUAAAUACCGGCCAGAGACCGAUAGCGCACAAGUAGAGUGAUCGAAAGAUGAAAAGCACCUUGAAAAGGGGGUUAAACAGUACGUGAAAUUGUUGAAAGGGAAGCGCUCAUGACCAGACUUGUGCUGGGCAGCUCAUCCGGGGUUCUCCCCGGUGCACUCUGCCCAGUUCAGGCCAGCAUCGAUUUUUGCCGGGGGAUAAGAACGGUAGGAACGUGGCCCUCCUUCGGGUGGGUGUUAUAGCCUACCGUACGAUACCCUGGCGGAGAUCGAGGUUCGCGCAUCUGCAAGGAUGCUGGCGUAAUGGUCAUCAGCGACCCGUCUUGAAACACGGACCAAGGAGUCGUCCAUUAGAGCGAGCGUUUGGGUGUCAAACCCGCACGCGUAAUGAAAGUGAAAUUAGGUGAGAGCUUCGGCGCAUCAUCGACCGAUCCUGAUGUUCUCGGAUGGAUUUGAGUAAGAGUUUUAACGGACGGACCCGAAAGACAGUGAACUAUGCUUGUAUAGGGUGAAGCCAGAGGAAACUCUGGUGGAGGCUCGCAGCGGUUCUGACGUGCAAAUCGAUUCGUCAAAUAUGAGCAU
rnacentral:rRNA from 1 species